GCGCCCGUAGCUUAGCUGGAUAAAGCGUCAGCCUCCGGAGCUGAAGAUCGCAGGUUCAAAUCCCGCCGGGCGCA
rnacentral:tRNA from 1 species